AGAGUUUGAUCAUGGCUCAGAUUGAACGCUGGCGGCAGGCCUAACACAUGCAAGUCGAACGGUAACAGGAAGCAGCUUGCUGCUUUGCUGACGAGUGGCGGACGGGUGAGUAAUGUCUGGGAAACUGCCUGAUGGAGGGGGAUAACUACUGGAAACGGUAGCUAAUACCGCAUAACGUCGCAAGACCAAAGAGGGGGACCUUCGGGCCUCUUGCCAUCGGAUGUGCCCAGAUGGGAUUAGCUUGUUGGUGGGGUAACGGCUCACCAAGGCGACGAUCCCUAGCUGGUCUGAGAGGAUGACCAGCCACACUGGAACUGAGACACGGUCCAGACUCCUACGGGAGGCAGCAGUGGGGAAUAUUGCACAAUGGGCGCAAGCCUGAUGCAGCCAUGCCGCGUGUAUGAAGAAGGCCUUCGGGUUGUAAAGUACUUUCAGCGGGGAGGAAGGGAGUAAAGUUAAUACCUUUACUCAUUGACGUUACCCGCAGAAGAAGCACCGGCUAACUCCGUGCCAGCAGCCGCGGUAAUACGGAGGGUGCAAGCGUUAAUCGGAAUUACUGGGCGUAAAGCGCACGCAGGCGGUUUGUUAAGUCAGAUGUGAAAUCCCCGGGCUCAACCUGGGAACUGCAUCUGAUACUGGCAAGCUUGAGUCUCGUAGAGGGGGGUAGAAUUCCAGGUGUAGCGGUGAAAUGCGUAGAGAUCUGGAGGAAUACCGGUGGCGAAGGCGGCCCCCUGGACGAAGACUGACGCUCAGGUGCGAAAGCGUGGGGAGCAAACAGGAUUAGAUACCCUGGUAGUCCACGCCGUAAACGAUGUCGACUUGGAGGUUGUGCCCUUGAGGCGUGGCUUCCGGAGCUAACGCGUUAAGUCGACCGCCUGGGGAGUACGGCCGCAAGGUUAAAACUCAAAUGAAUUGACGGGGGCCCGCACAAGCGGUGGAGCAUGUGGUUUAAUUCGAUGCAACGCGAAGAACCUUACCUGGUCUUGACAUCCACGGAAGUUUUCAGAGAUGAGAAUGUGCCUUCGGGAAUCGUGAGACAGGUGCUGCAUGGCUGUCGUCAGCUCGUGUUGUGAAAUGUUGGGUUAAGUCCCGCAACGAGCGCAACCCUUAUCCUUUGUUGCCAGCGGUCCGGCCGGGAACUCAAAGGAGACUGCCAGUGAUAAACUGGAGGAAGGUGGGGAUGACGUCAAGUCAUCAUGGCCCUUACGACCAGGGCUACACACGUGCUACAAUGGCGCAUACAAAGAGAAGCGACCUCGCGAGAGCAAGCGGACCUCAUAAAGUGCGUCGUAGUCCGGAUUGGAGUCUGCAACUCGACUCCAUGAAGUCGGAAUCGCUAGUAAUCGUGGAUCAGAAUGCCACGGUGAAUACGUUCCCGGGCCUUGUACACACCGCCCGUCACACCAUGGGAGUGGGUUGCAAAAGAAGUAGGUAGCUUAACCUUCGGGAGGGCGCUUACCACUUUGUGAUUCAUGACUGGGGUGAAGUCGUAACAAGGUAACCGUAGGGGAACCUGCGGUUGGAUCACCU
rnacentral:rRNA from 1 species